rnacentral:rRNA from 1 species
GAUGAACGCUGGCGGCGUGCCUAAUACAUGCAAGUCGAGCGAACAGACGAGGAGCUUGCUCCUCUGACGUUAGCGGCGGACGGGUGAGUAACACGUGGAUAACCUACCUAUAAGACUGGGAUAACUUCGGGAAACCGGAGCUAAUACCGGAUAAUAUAUUGAACCGCAUGGUUCAAUAGUGAAAGACGGUUUUGCUGUCACUUAUAGAUGUAUCCGCGCCGCAUUAGCUAGUUGGUAAGGUAACGGCUUACCAAGGCAACGAUGCGUAGCAGACCUGAGAGGGUGAUCGGCCACACUAGAACUGAGACACGGUCCAGACUCCUACGGGAGGCAACAGUAGGGAAUCUUCCGCAAUGGGCGAAAGCCUGACGGAGCAACGAAGCGUGAGUGAUGAAGGUCUUCGGAUCGUAAAACUCUGUUAUGAGGGAAGAACAAAUGUGUAAGUAACUAGGCACGUCUUGACGGUACCAAAUCAGAAAGCCACGGCUAACUACGUG